CAGGUGGUGCAUGGUUGUCGUCAGCUCGUGUCGUGAGAUGUUGGGUUAAGUCCCGCAACGAGCGCAACCCUCGACCUUAGUUGCCAGCAUUCAGUUGGGCACUCUAAGGUGACUGCCGGCUAAAAGUCGGAGGAAGGUGGGAUGACGUCAAAUCAUCAUGCCCCUUAUGACCUGGGCUACACACGUGCUACAAUGGGCGGUACAAAGGGUCGCGAACCCGCGAGGGGGAGCCAAUCCCAAAAAGCCGCUCUCAGUUCGGAUUGCAGGCUGCAACUCGCCUGCAUGAAGCCGGAAUCGCUAGUAAUCGCGGAUCAGCAUGCCGCGGUCGAAUACGUUCCCGGGCCUU
rnacentral:rRNA from 1 species